AUGAACUCAGGACCUUGCACUUGUGAAGCAGGCGCAGAACAACUGAGCUAAAACCCAGCCCCAACAGUCAGUGCUCUUGAUGCUUGGGUUACACCACUGAGCAAUCAGGUGCCACAACGCUCCUGUCUCCUUUUCCAGAAUGACUCAGCCCUUCCUCGAAACAAUUAGAGCAAACAGCCUUGCUGACUUGAGCGGAGACUUAGCCAAAGAAUGCAUGAUGUGAGCAGCUGUUAUCUCCCCAGACCUUUCUACCAUGCUGUUUCAGCCUUUGAGUCAUCUCACAAUAGACCGAAAAUGUACAAAGUACUGUUACAGUUGUCCUUCCACUACUACUCUCAUCCUCCUGCCAAGAAGAAACUCACUUGUAAGGUUGAAUUCAGGGCUCACAUGUUUCUGUCACAUAAGAGGCACAGUUCUGGAAGGGAACUGGAAAGAAUCCUAAAGGAUUUUGUACUGAACACAGCAGCGCCCAAAGACAAAAGGAAUUUGGAACUCUGAAUCAGAGUGGAUGGCUGCAUGAUAAACAGAAGCAAAGCAAAUGAUAUCCGGCUUUUUGCUGAAGUUCCUCGUG